rnacentral:rRNA from 1 species
GACGAACGCUGGCGGCGUGCUUAACACAUGCAAGUCGAACGAUGAAGCCGGAGCUUGCUCUGGUGAAUUAGUGGCGAACGGGUGAGUAACACGUGAGUAACCUGCCCUUGACUCUGGGAUAACUGCUAGAAAUGGUAGCUAAUACCGGAUACGACCCUCGGAGGCAUCUCCAGGGGGUGGAAAGAAUUUCGGUUCGGGAUGGACUCGCGGCCUAUCAGCUUGUUGGUGAGGUAACGGCUCACCAAGGCGACGACGGGUAGCCGGCCUGAGAGGGUAAUCGGCCACACUGGGACUGAGACACGGCCCAGACUCCUACGGGAGGCAGCAGUGGGGAAUAUUGCACAAUGGGCGCAAGCCUGAUGCAGCAACGCCGCGUGAGGGACGACGGCCUUCGGGUUGUAAACCUCUUUUAGUAGGGAAGAAGCGAAAGUGACGGUACCUGCAGAAAAAGCACCGGCUAACUACGUGCCAGCCGCCGCGGUAA